rnacentral:rRNA from 1 species
UACGAAGGGGGCUAGCGUUGCUCGGAAUCACUGGGCGUAAAGGGUGCGUAGGUGGCCGGGUAAGUUUGGUGUGAAAGCUCGGGAGCUUAACUCCGAAAUGGCACUGAAUACUGAUUUGGCUGGAGGGUCGGAGGGGAGACUGGAAUUCUCGGUGUAGCAGUGAAAUGCGUAGAUAUCGAAGAGGAACACCGGUGGCGAAGGCGGCAUCCUGGACCGGUAUUGACGCUGGAGGCGACGGAAAGCCAGGG